UUUUAUUCAAGUCGAACAAAAGUGACGUGCAAACUAAAUAGAUACAGCAGUGUGUUAAUAUCCUAGUCGCAAGAAACAAUUUGGAAAGCCAAAGUGACUUUUCGGAUUAAGAAAAUAUGAGGAAAUAAUUUUAAGAUGAGCACGUCGGGACCCUAAUCAAAUGUGGACUUACUCAAGCGUGGACAUCCCGAGGAGCAGAGUUAGUCGUGCGGAGAGAAUAAGGAUAUAUAUUUCGGAGUGCAUCGUCUGUUUUUGCGUUUUAUUCUUUAUCGUUUGCGUGGGCUUGCUUCUCUAUUUGUUCUUCCAUUUAUACACCACUGUGACUAGCGCUCGUAAAGUUGUUGAGACUUUGAUUGAGAGUUGAUACUUAGUAUUGUUCAUAUUGCUUAAUCGCUUUAUGCCUAAUGGUAGUUCUGCGAUAAAUUCAGCUAUGAUAACAAUCUGGAAACUGGUCUCGUAUUUUAAAAAUAUAAAAAGAUAAGUUCUUAACGUUUCGGAGGAGUUUUGCAUUUUGGAGAUUUUUUCAAUGUUUUUGUUGGUUUUUAUUAUUUAGGGGCUUUUAUAGUUAUGUAAAUGUCAGCCCCAUCAUAAUCGUAACAAUUUAUUGGUCUGAAGUAUCUAAAUUAACAAAAUAACGCAAACAAUUCCUUUAAAUUAAAAACGAAUAUGAUUUUGCUUAAUAUUUAAUUAAGUAAAAUAUCAUCAUAGAAAUAAAAAUAUAUAAACAUAAGCACCUAAUAAAAACAAAUUGUUCAGUAUUUAUAUUUAGGUACAUAACUGUUGAAUAGAAACAAAAUGGCACUUGUUGUACAUACCUAGGCAAUAGAAGAUAGGUAGCCUGUAAUUUCACUAGUCCGUAGUUUAUAGAUUGUCUUUUUAGAAUUAAUAUUCAAUGCCAUAUUACUAAGAAUGUACGCACUUUUAGGUGAUAAGAGUAAAAAGAAUUUAAUAUAACAUGUUACCUAUGUAAAUGAAAACUCUUCGAAUGAUAAAAAAAUUAGUUUAUGGAAUAUAGCUCUAUUGAAUUAUUUUAUUUAUGUCUACUGUUAAGUAGGUACUUUUUCUUUUAUUUAUCCACGUUUUACCAUAAUCAUACCUACGAAAUAUGUACGAAAUAAAUGCGACAAAGUGUCUGUCUA